rnacentral:rRNA from 1 species
GACGAACGCUGGCGGCGUGCUUAACACAUGCAAGUCGAACGGAAAGGCCCUGCUUUUGCGGGGUGCUCGAGUGGCGAACGGGUGAGUAACACGUGAGUAACCUGCCCUUGACUUUGGGAUAACUUCAGGAAACUGGGGCUAAUACCGGAUAGGAGCUCCUGCUGCAUGGUGGGGGUUGGAAAGUGCCGGUGGUAGUGGCUGGUCUCGAUGGUUAUCAGCUUGUUGGUGGGGUAGGGGCUUACAAAGGCUUUGACGGGUAGCCGGCCUGAGAGGGCGACCGGCCACAAUGGGCCUACGGUACGGCCCAGACGCCAACGGGAGGCAGCGGGGGGAAACAUUGCACAAUGGGCGCGAGCCAGAUGCGACAACCCCGCGAGCGGAAUGCCGUCUUUCGAGUGAUAAACAGCUUUGUCAGGUGACGAGCACUGAUUGACGGUAACUGGUAAGAAAGCAACGGCUAACUACGUG